ACAAUAGCAUUUCCAACAAGGGUAAAGACUCCUUAAGUAUUUCCAGAGCAUUCUGGGAGCAAUGAAGACAUUGAAAAGAUGUCUCAACAACUUGGAGAAGUGGCACCUGCUUUGAGAAAAAUUAGUGCAAACAAGCUUGAUAUCUACCAACUACAUGAUGAGAUUAUGAAGAUAGAAGGUUACAACGAAGAAUUUCUGGACUUGGUAUUCGAUCAUUUGGUGCAAAAUGAGAAGCUAGGAAAAGCAUUUAUGGUGAAGAGUCAAAGACUUUGUUUGUUUCUCUCGAGAGGUUCAAGAAAGAUUGGGGCGUCGAAUAAACACCAUUGAACCUUGGAGGUGAUCUAGAAGUGGAAAAAAGAAGGGCUGACUAAGUACCUUGCCACUUGCCAUGGCCUUGGGAAUUUGUAGGUGCAGGCCAACUGGAUU